ACGGUUCUGUAGAGUGGCAGUAAGGGUGACUUAUCUGUCAACUUUUCC
rnacentral:sRNA from 1 species